AUGGCUGUCGUCAGCUCGUGCCGUGAGGUGUUGAGUUAAGUCCCGCAACGAGCGCAACCCCUGUGGUCGGUUAGGAUGUCCGACAAGACUGCCACGCUAAACGUGGAGGAAGGUGGGGAUGACGUCAAGUCAGCACGGCCCUUACGUCCUGGGCUACACACACGCUACAAUGGUCGAGACAACGGGUUGCGAACUCGCGAGGGGGAGCUAAUCCCAGCAAACUCGAUCUCAGUUCGGAUGGCAGGCUGCAACUCGCCUGCCUGAAGCCGGAGUUGCUAGUAACCGUGGGUCAGCACGCCACGGUGAAUACGUUCCCGGGUCUUGUACACACCGCCCGUCACACCACGAAAGUCGGCAACACCUGAAGCCGCUGGGCUAACCCUCUGUGAGGAGGGAGGCAGGCGUCGAGGGUGGGGUUGGUGAUUGGGGUGAAGUCGUAACAAGGUAGCCGUACCGGAAGGUGCGGCUGGAUCACCUCCUUUCUAGGGAGCAGAGGUCGAUGAUGCUUGAGAGAGUAUCGGAGGCCCACUUCCAGGUCGAAGCUCGUUGUGAGCGGCUUGCAAGCAUGCAAGAGCGAGCACAACGAGAGACGUAUCGGGAGACAGGAGAGGGAUGGGUGGCGCACGCGUACGACGCAGCAAGCUGGCUGGUUUCCACUUUCCAGUUGUCAGGGUCUCCUGACAUGUACUUUUACAAACCGAAUAACAUUAUUACUUCAAUUUUGCCAAGGCAAGAAGAGAGAAGCGAAGCAGAGGAGAGCGAGAGGGGUGUGUGAGUGUGAGGAGGAGGGAGUGGAGAGGGAGGAAGCGAGAAGAGGAAGGACAUGCAAGGACACACACAGGAGAGCACAAGCGAGAAAGAGUACGAGGUGGAUGCCUAGGCGCUGAAGGCCGACGAAGGACGCGGAGACCGGCGAAACGUUCAGGGGGAGCUGCAUGCGAGCGAAGAGCCCUGAGAAUCCGAAUGGGGAAACC
rnacentral:sRNA from 1 species